CAGAAUCAACGGUGUCAAAUACAUCAACUACUACUACUACUACGGAGAUUACGCCAGAUACAACCCGGUCGAGUAUAAAGGGAAUGACACCACCAACUACCACGGAGAUGACGACAGAUACAUUAGUACCAAAAUCAACCACUGAUGAAAGGGUCACUGAUAAAAACACAACCAUAACAUCUACAAAUGAAAAUGGUGAUAUUGUUCAAAUAGGUGUUAAUAUUGGUGGAUCUGUUGGAGGAAUAACUGUAAUAAUCGUCAUCAUUAUCAUAAUUGUGUGUGUAAUACGUAAACGGAGAAAAGACAAGACUUACGAAAGUCCAGAAGCUGUAGAGACUGAUGCUCAUCCUUACCAGAAUAUUCCAGAAAACAGAUCAGGGGAAAUAACUCACCAACCUAAACCGAAUAAUGAAUUGGUUCAUCAGGAGAAUGAUCCAUAUACCAGUAUUGAUAAUGAUAUAAUUAAACCUAGCAACGGUAACCAAGGGAUGGAAUAUCUAGAAAAUGAUCUGUAUAUAAGUUA